rnacentral:rRNA from 1 species
CUCCUACGGGAGGCAGCAGUGGGGAAGUCUUGCACAAUGGGCGAAAGCCUGAUGCAGCAACGCCGCGUGAGUGAAGAAGGCCUUUGGGUUGUUAAAGCUCUUUCGGUUUGGGAAGAAGGGAAUGGUUGCUAAUACCAGCUAUUUUUGACGGUACCAGCAUAAGAAGCACCGGCUAAUUCCGUGCCAGCAGCCGCGGUAAUUC